rnacentral:rRNA from 1 species
UACGUAGGGUGCAAGCGUUAAUCGGAAUUACUGGGCGUAAAGCGCGCGUAGGCGGUGAUCUUUGUCAGAGGUGAAAUCCCGAGGCUCAACUUCGGAAUUGCCUUUGAAACGGGAUCGCUUGAGUCCGAGAGAGGAUGGCGGAAUUCCUAGUGUAGAGGUGAAAUUCGUAGAUAUUAGGAAGAACACCGGUGGCGAAGGCGGCCAUCUGGCUCGGUACUGACGCUCAGGCGCGAAAGCGUGGAGAGCAAACAGG